rnacentral:rRNA from 1 species
UACGAAGGGGGCUAGCGUUGCUCGGAAUUACUGGGCGUAAAGGGCGCGUAGGCGGCGAUGUAAGUCAGGCGUGAAAGCCCCGGGCUCAACCUGGGAACGGCGCUUGAUACUGCGUUGCUUGAGGACGGGAGAGGAUGGUGGAAUUCCCAGUGUAGAGGUGAAAUUCGUAGAUAUUCGGAAGAACACCAGUGGCGAAGGCGACUUACUGGACACAUAUUGACGCUGAGGUGCGAAAGCGUGGGGAGCAACAGGAUUAAGAAACCUUGUAACG